UCGAUUAGAUGAGAUGAGAUGAGAUCCAUCUUCGGAUUUCUGUGGUUGCUGUCAAGCCCCAAUAGCUGGAAUCAAAAUUCAAUGAUUGAUCUCCAAAGCAUUGUCAUCUCAGUGCCAUACAUUCAGUUGGUCUGCUGCAAGAUAAACAAUUUCAAAUGGUUCAAAAGUGAUAAAGAUCAUGUGGUAAAUAAUAUAAAACCAAGAACCAUAUCAUUUAAGAAGAUUCCCCAACUGGAAAAAUUUCCUUCUUCAUGGAAGUUCAUACGUACCCACAUAUCUCUAAACAAAUUUUGUAUGCAGUUGAUUGGAUUCAAAAGAAUCAAAGGGUCCAGUAAUUACAUAAUAUAUAGUCAUUUUUCUACAUAUUGGAAACUUUUGACUUGAAAGAGGAUGAUCCGGUCUCAAGAGUCACAGGAAGCAGAUAUUUUCUUCACCUAGUUUAUGCUUCUUUAAUUGCUGUACAGGUACUAUUAUUAGUCCUUACUGGCAAGCUCAUACUUGAAAUUCAAACAAGAAUAUAAUUAUUAACAAGUUCUAUGAUAUAUGUGGCCCAAAUGUUUGAAAAACAAGAAAAAGAAUGGUUAUUUCAAGUAC
rnacentral:lncRNA from 1 species